UAUGCUCAGACACUGCACCAGAUGUUUGUUGUAAAUGCUGGCGGUGGUUUCAAGCUACUAUGGAAUUCAGUGAAAGGUUUUCUUGACCCUAAAACGGUCUCAAAGAUACAUGUUUUGGGAACAAAAUUCCAAAGCAAACUUCUUGAAGUAAUAGAUGGAAGCCAACUUCCUGAAUUUUUGGGUGGAACAUGCACAUGUGCGGGUCAGGGAGGAUGCCUCAAGUCUAACAAAGGUCCAUGGAAUGACCCUAACAUUAUGAAGGUUGCACAUAACAAAGAAGCAAAGUUUGUAAGGCAUACAAGACGCUUAUCUGAGAUCGAGCAACGAAGGGGUUCAUUUGCUAGGUUACAUCUUUUGAAGGGUAGAAACAGUGACACGUCAACAGCUGAGUCAGGAUCAGAUGUUGAUGAUCUAGGUUCUCCUAUGAUGAGAAGCACAUUGGGGUGCAGUCGACUAGCUCCAGUUCGUGAAGAAAUGCAGAUGAGAGCACGAGAGUCUGCGGCUUAUUACAGUUGCGAUGAUCACUUUGUGGUGGUGGACAAAACAGUUGAUUAUGGCAGAGGAGGAUCAAUGCCAGAUAAACGCAGUGCCCCACAAGUAAGAGUACAAGCCCAGCCUUCAGGCACACAAAACACUCCAGGCUCUUCAAGAAACAGUCGUGCUAUACUAGUACCCAAAGAGAUUCCGGAGGAAGGGAAAUUCUAUCGUUUUCUCAGAUUACUGCUGGUUCUGGUUGUUAGGGUUUUUACCUUCUUACGCACAGUAUGCAGUCAGCCAGAGAUAACGAUGGUCAACAACCCACUACCUCCAGCUCCUGAGUUUGAACCCAUCUCUGGUGAUCAUCCAGCAGUUGAAGCGUUCAGUGUGGACCUUGUCAGUCCUGUCAUUGAGCGCCUUCAGAAGCUCGAGGGUCGGGUUGAUGAGCUCGGCAGCAAGCCCCCAGAGAUUCCCCUGGAGAAAGAACGCUCCCUCUUGGAUUCAUGGGAUAGGAUCAAAUGUAUCGAAUCUGACCUCGAAAGGACGAAGAAAGUUCUGCAGGCUACUGUGAUGAAGCAACUAGAAAUUGCAGACUCAAUAGACGAAGUUAUCUUGUCAAAGCUGCACAGGCGAAGAUUUUGUGCGUAA
rnacentral:rRNA from 1 species